UACGAAGGGGGCGAGCGUUGUUCGGAUUUACUGGGCGUAAAGGGCGCGUAGGCGGGCGCAACAAGUCAGGCGUGAAAGCCCCGGGCUCAACCUGGGAGGUGCGCUUGGGACUGUUGUGCUUGAGUUCGGGAGAGGAGAGUGGAAUUCCCAGUGUAGAGGUGAAAUUCGUAGAUAUUGGGAAGAACACCGGUGGCGAAGGCGGCUCUCUGGACCGAGACUGACGCUGAGGCGCGAAAGCGUGGGGAGCAAACAGG
rnacentral:rRNA from 1 species